rnacentral:lncRNA from 1 species
GGAACAAACACCUUCUUGGAGUCUUCUCUCCACUGGCAAGCUAAGGAGGAGAGAGGCACAAGGUAUAUCUGCAGAAGUAACCCCAUGGAUUUAAAAGUAGCUACAGCAUCAAUUUAAAGGUUCAAUGAAGAAUGUACAGCCAUGUAGAACUACAAUUGGGGAAAACAGGAAUAAUCUAAUGGAAACAGACCGAGUCGGGAAACCUAUCAAGCCCCGUCAGCUCAGCUUCUUCUUGGCCUCUCCGUGCAGCAUUUC